AACGAACGCUGGCGGCAGGCUUAACACAUGCAAGUCGAACGGGCUCUUCGGAGCUAGUGGCAGACGGGUGAGUAACGCGUGGGAACCUACCUAUAAGUACGGAACAACACAGAGAAAUUUGUGCUAAUACCGUAUGUGCUCUUUGGAGUAAAGAUUUAUCGCUUAUAGAUGGGCCCGCGUUAGAUUAGCUAGUUGGUGAGGUAAUGGCUCACCAAGGCGACGAUCUAUAGCUGGUCUGAGAGGAUGAUCAGCCACACUGGGACUGAGACACGGCCCAGACUCCUACGGGAGGCAGCAGUGAGGAAUAUUGGACAAUGGGGGCAACCCUGAUCCAGCCAUGCCGCGUGAGUGAUGACGGCCUUAGGGUUGUAAAGCUCUUUCGCUAGGGAAGAUAAUGACGGUACCUAGUAAAGAAGCCCCGGCUAACUUCGUGCCAGCAGCCGCGGUAA
rnacentral:rRNA from 1 species